GUAGAGAAGGGAGAGGGCGAGAGAAGAGGGAGAGAGGGAGAGAGGGGAGAGAAGAGAGGGAGAGCUCAGCUGUCUGUAUAGCUUCUUGAAAAGGUCAUUCUCCCCACCCCCCACCAGCAGAAAAAGGUGGAUGAUCACUUUUGGGACUCUGGAAUCGGACAGCAUUAUGGAGAAAUGCUCAAUCCCAGGGCUGGCUAAGCUCCUUCACUCCUAGGCCCAGGUCAAGGUUGUGAAGACCCAGGCUGGAGUCCAGCAGCUUCCCAAAGUGCAUUCAGAGGUUAUAUGCAAAUUCAAUACCAUCGAACGGAAGGGACGUGGCUUUCUAAGGCUUGUGUAUCCAUGGGAAUAGGAAGAUGUCCUUUCUCAGUGUCCUGCUCGUGAUAGAGAUACUAUGACGGUUGGAGGAGAGGUCUCUGUGCUGUUUUGUCUUGUCCCCUUGAUGGUUUCGGAAGCCACUUAGGAGACACGUGGAGUGCCUAUGAGGGAGUUUCUCAAUUACGCCAACUGAGGACUGCAGACACUCUAUCAGCACCUGCCUUAAGACUUUCCUACCACAGACGCACCAAGUCUCCUUAAAUGUAAUUGGAAAUAGCUUCUUCUCCCUCGAGUUGCUUCUUGUCAGGACUGGUUGCCAUUCCGUCACCCCAAAAGCUCUGACAUGCAAGGACUUGGACUAAUCUCCACACUUAAAAAGCUUCUGUGGUGAGCCUGUGUGGCUUUUCCCGGAAGGACCUGAAAAACACAAGGACCGGAUUAAAGGAGGCCUCUAGUCAGUACUUUCUCUCAUCUGCUUGGCUGAAGUUUCCAAACUUUCAGGCCCACAGUGUGUCCCUUUAACUCGAAACAUGGCUGGUGGUUUCUGAGACCCCUUUCUGUAGUCAGAGCCCCCUCCUCACUCCUCGGGCGGGCUCAAAUGGACCAGGCUGUGUGAAAUGUUUUCAUUUCCAUUGACUGGUUGUGUAUUUCCCUUGUGUUAAUCCCUUGUUAAUGGACACUUUCUCUGAGCCAGCUGAGAUUGGAGUUGUGCUGUCUUUGUGACUCUAGCAGAUUUUAUGACUUGGAUAUCUUUGUUUUUGUUAUUUUGAGAUUUGGGGAUUUUGUCUGUUUCAUCGAUAUUGAUUCUCAGUGAGAGAUGGCCCAGGCUCCCACAGCUUCUGUUUGUGUUUGAUCUACAAACAGUGGGAGGGACUCCUCAGCCUGCAAAUGUUUUCCUUCUCUGUUUCAACUGGGAAAGGCAGAGCCAUUAGCAGCUCCCACCACUGGAAACAGAUGAACGGGGGCUUUAAACCAAGGUUUGUGUUGGCGGUGUGGGAUGAGACACCGUGUUUGUCAUUCAAAUGACCUUAAGCCACUGCUCUGGGGCACUCGUUUUAGAGAGCCAUGUGGAAGAGUGAAGGGUCUCAGCGAUUGCUUUCUGAGAAGUCUGAGGAGAAAUAUUCAUUCUUGUGAUUAACUCUGCCCUUUACUAACUGUGUGACUCUGGGCAAAUCAUUUGCCCACCUGAUUCUCAGUUUUAACUCUAUGAUGAAGCUGUAGCAAGUCUUGGUGGUACAGGUCUGUAGAGACAGGAAGAAGUUUGAGCUAUAGAGUAAAACCCUGUCUCAACAAACAAAAACAUGGGCCGGGGAGAUGGCCGGGUUAAUAAAAUGCUUGUCUUUCAAA